GUGCCAGCCGCCGCGGUAAUACGUAGGGUCCGAGCGUUAAUCGGAAUUAUUGGGCGUAAAGAGUGCGCAGGCGGAUAUACAAGAUAGAUGUGAAAUCCUUGAGCUUAACUUGAGAACUGCAUAUAUGACUGUAAAUCUAGAGUGUGUCAGAGGGGGGUAGAAUUCCAUGUGUAGCAGUGAAAUGCGUAGAGAUGUGGAGGAAUACCGAUGGCGAAGGCAGCCCCCUGGGACGAUACUGACGCUGAGGCACGAAAGCGUGGGGAGCAAACAGGAUUAGAAACCCCCGUAGUCC
rnacentral:rRNA from 1 species